AUUGAACGCUGGCGGCACGCCUUACACAUGCAAGUCGAACGGCAGCACGGGAGCUUGCUCCUGGUGGCGAGUGGCGAACGGGUGAGUAAUACAUCGGAACGUACCCAGGAGUGGGGGAUAACGUAGCGAAAGUUACGCUAAUACCGCAUAUUCUGUGAGCAGGAAAGCGGGGGAUCGCAAGACCUCGCGCUCUUGGAGCGGCCGAUGUCGGAUUAGCUAGUUGGUGAGGUAAAAGCUCACCAAGGCGACGAUCCGUAGCAGGUCUGAGAGGAUGCUCUGCCACACUGGGACUGAGACACGGCCCAGACGCCUGCGGGAGGCAGCAGUGGGGAAUUUUGGACAAAGGGGGCAACCCUGAUCCAGCCAUGCCGCGUGGGUGAAGAAGGCCUUCGGGUUGUAAAGCUCUUUCGGCGGGGAAGAAAUGGCAACGGCUAAUAUUCGUUGUUGAUGACGGUACCCGCAUAAGAAGCACCGGCUAACUACGUGCCAGCCGCCGCCGUAA
rnacentral:rRNA from 1 species